ensembl:lncRNA
CUUCAGUUGUGUCUGACUCUGUGCGACCCCAUAGACGGCAGCCCACUGGUCGGAGAAAAGCAGCAAGGCUUUGGAAACAGAGGAAAGGGGCCACGAGAUAAUGUAUGUAAACAGCCUCUGAAAGCUGGGGAAGAGCAGGAACCAGACUCCAAAGUCCAGAAAGCAAUGCAGCCCUGUAAGGCAGCACUGUAACUUUAGCCCAAUAGCACCCACGUGAGACUUUUAACUACAGAACUAUAAAAUGAGAAAAUGGUUUAGAUUGCUUAGUCUUCCUGCUCUUUAAAGCGGCUGAGUUUGUGGCUAUUUGCAACAGCAGCCCUAGAAAAGCAAGGCCAGAGUCCUCUGCUUUCUGUCCUGGCUUCUAUUUCUGUUUUGUUUCUUUUUUUUUUUAACCUAUCAUCAGUCAUUUGAAUUGUUACUUUUCAAGUAAAGUGUUAUUUUCUCUGUAGACAAUUAUGGGAUUAUUGCCAUCUUAACACUAUUAAUGACUGAACACUGAUGUCUCCCCAUUUGUUUGGGUCUUCUCUAAUUUCUUUCAAAAGUUUUUUGUUGUUUUCAGAGUAAAAAUUUUACAUUUAUUUUAUUAAAUGUAUUCUUUAGUUGUUUUUGAGACGAAAUAAUUGUUUUCUUAAUCUCUAUUUCAAUUUGCUAAUUGCUGUUGUAUAAAAAAGAGAUUUAAUGUGUUGAUUUUAUAUCCUUUAAACUCACUGAACUCUUUUAUUCUGAGUUAAUUAUUUUACAUAAAAUUAAAAAAACACUUUUAGCAGAUUCUCUAGAAUUUUCUAUUAAUAUGGCGUAUUAUAUCAGUUGAUUUUUGGAUAUUGAACCAAUUUUGCAUCCUGGGGACAAAUCAUUCUUGGUCGUGGCUUAUAAUAAUCAUUUUGAAAUGUUUCUAGGUUUGACUUAACAAUAUUUUGUUGAUGAUUUUUGAAUCUAUAUUCAUGAAAUAUAUUGACCUCUUGUUUCUUUGUCGGGGGCUGUCUGGAGCCUGAAAACAAGCCCCACUGAGCUGAGGUGCAAGAAAACCUCCCUCCCCCGAGUGCAAGCGCUCAGGCUAAAGCGAAGAAACCUGGAGAUCCCGGAGUCCGAGACAGAAAGAAACCAGGAAUCUUUUCUCUGGCAGCAGAAUGUCAAGGAAACAGUAAGUUUGCUUUGCUUAUUGACAAAUAGUACAAGAAAACAAAAAUUGUCCCAGUGAAGCAUUUCAGAUUGACGUUAGGGUAGUACAUAAUUUUAUGUUUGUAUUUCUGAAACUAUGUAAGUUUCAGCUGAGGAAUCAAAGUGAUGAGUUUGAUUCAGUGAUCAAUUUAUAACAGUGAUGACUUUCUAAUCUGAGUUACAAAAUCAAGAUGCAAAUUUUUAUAGUGC